UAAGACCGGAGUUGAUGAACAUUUUUCAGUCUGAAGACUCUUUAGAUCUGCAUCGGUGAGAGUUCUGCUCUUCUUACCUCUUCCUACCUGCUUUUGUUGCUGUGAUUUAUUCCAGGAAACCGGUUACCUUUCUCUCCAGGCUUCGACUCAACUCUUUGGACUGUUUGAAGAAACUAUAAACAUGAAGAUCUCUAUCUUUGCUGGUGUUCUGCUGCUCUCUGUUGCCAUGCUCUCUGUGGAUGGACUAGAUCCAAGAGUUCAGAAGUUCAUAAAUCAGCAUAUCAACCAGAACAUGGCUCCUAACCGCUGUGACGCCGUAAUAACCCAGAAAAAAAUCAGUCAAACCAACAGCAAUAAGUGUAAGGACGUAAACACCUUCAUCAGUGCUACGUAUGCUGCCGUCAAACCCG